rnacentral:rRNA from 1 species
UACGGGGGGGGCAAGCGUUGUUCGGAAUUACUGGGCGUAAAGGGCGCGUAGGCGGCCUUCUAAGUCAGACGUGAAAUCCCUCGGCUCAACCGGGGAACUGCGUCUGAGACUGGAAGGCUUGAAUUCGGGAGAGGGAUGUGGAAUUCCAGGUGUAGCGGUGAAAUGCGUAGAUAUCUGGAGGAACACCGGUGGCGAAGGCGGCAUCCUGGACCGAGAUUGACGCUGAUGCGCGAAAGCCAGGGGAGCAAACGGG